AAAAAAAAAAUUGCAUAGGCACAAAUUGUUUUUCAUGAAACAAAUAACGCCUUAAAGAAUAAGGCUUCACAUAAUGAUUGAACAUGCCAGAAAAUAAUUUUGAGAUCCCUUUCAUACAGUCCAAUAGCAGAGUAGUGGAAUUAGAGGGGUGGGGGACCCUGAAGCUGAAUAAAAAAAAAUAGUUAAAUAUUAGCAAUGUUAUCAAAGUCUCAAGAAAUAUAAUUGCAAGAUCCCUUUUAGAUAUACAAGUUAGAAUGAAAAUUGACAAAGA
rnacentral:misc_RNA from 1 species